AUGCUCUUUAAUAGAACUUUCGGUUUAGCUGGUCAUGACCAAGAAACCACCGGCUUUGCUUGGUGGGCUGGGAAUGCCAGACUUAUCAAUUUGUCCGGUAAACUACUUGGAGCUCAUGUAGCCCAUGCCGGAUUAAUCAUAUUCUGGGCUGGAGCAAUGAACCUAUUUGAAGUGGCCCAUUUCGUACCAGAAAAGCCCAUGUAUGAACAAGGGUUGAUUUCACUUCCACACUUAGCUACUCUAGGCUUCGGUGGCAAUUAUCAUGUGCUUCUGGGACCCGAGACUCUUGAGGAAUCCUUUCCAUUCUUUGGUUAA
rnacentral:rRNA from 1 species